UAUGGCAAAUGUGAGAUGCAGUGUAUGGAAUGUCAAAUUUCUAGUAUGAGAAAUUAACGAUUUAAGUCCUUCUUAAAUGAGGCCAUUUACCCAUAGAGGGUGCCAGGCCCGUAUAACGUUAAUGAUUACUAGAUGGCAUUUCCAAAGAGUCGUGUUGCUUGAUAGUGCAGCACUAAGUGGGUGGUAAACUCCAUCUAAAACUAAAUAUAACCAUGAGACCGAUAGUAAACAAGUACCGUGAGGGAAAGUUGAAAAGAACUCUGAAUAGAGAGUUAAAUAGUACGUGAAACUGCUUAGAGGUUAAGCCCGAUGAACCUGAAUAUCCAUUAUAGAAAAUUCAUCAUUAUGAUUUUAAUAUUAAUAAUAUUAUAAUAAUGGUGUGCAUUUUUUCUAUAACGGACAUUGUAAUCUAUUAACAUAAAUAUAUUUAUCAUAAGAUCAAUGAUGCGUAAGUUUAUUCAAAUUAUUUUGCUUGCAAUUUAACAUAGAAUAAAUGCUCUUGAUUUGAUAAAGUGUUGAUAGAUUUAUUGUAUAUAGUGCUUAAAUAUUUAUAUUUUAUAAUAGCAUAUUAAUCAUUGAUUUUUAUGUUUAUUAUAUGCACUUAUAUGAUUAACAAUGCGAAAGAUUCAGGAUACCUUCGGGACCCGUCUUGAAACACGGACCAAGGAGUCUAACAUAUUUGCAAGUUAUUGGGUAUCAAAACCUAAUAGCGAAAUUAACAUAACUUUAAUGGGAUUAGUUUUUAGAUUAUUUAUAGUCUAUUAAUUCAAUCCCGGGGCGUUCUAUAUAGUUAUGUAUAAUAAUAUUUAUAUUAUUUAUACCUCUAACUAGAGCGUACCUUGAGCAUAUAUGCUGUGACCCGAAAGAUGGUGAACUAUACUUGAUCAGGUUGAAGUCAGGGGAAACCCUGAUGGAAGACCGAAACAGUUCUGACGUGCAAAUCGAUUGUCAGAAUUGAGUAUAGGGGCGAAAGACCAAUCGAACCAUCUAGUAGCU
rnacentral:rRNA from 1 species